UACGAGGGGGGCGAGCGUUGUUCGGAAUUAUUGGGCGUAAAGGGUGCGUAGGCGGUUUGGUAAGUCUUAUGUGAAAUCUACAGGCUCAACUUGUAGUCUGCAUGAGAAACUGCCGGGCUUGAGUAUGGGAGAGGUGAGUGGAAUUCCUGGUGUAGCGGUGAAAUGCGUAGAUAUCAGGAGGAACACCUGUGGCGAAAGCGGCUCACUGGACCAUAACUGACGCUGAUGCACGAAAGCUAGGGAAGCAAACAGG
rnacentral:rRNA from 1 species